CUACGGGUCGCAGCAGUCGAGAAUAUUUGACAAUGGGCGGAAGCCUGAUCAAGCGACGCCGCGUGCAGGAAGACGCUUUUCGGAGUGUAAACUGCUUUUCAUGGGGAUGAAGAUCGCCUUUUGGUGGUUUGACAGUACCCAUGGAAUAAGGAACGGCUAACUUCGUGCCAGCAGCAGCGGUAAUACGAAGGUUCCGAGCGUUAUCCGGAUUUAUUGGGCGUAAAGGGUGUGUAGGGGGCUAUGUGCGUCUGUUGUUAAAACUCACUGCUCAACGGUGAGAUCGCGAUGGAUACGGCAUAGCUAGAGGAUGCGAGAGGCUUGCGGAACGCACGGUGUAGGGGUGAAAUCCGUUGAUAUCGUGCGGAACACCAAAGGCGAAGGCAGCAAGCUGGCGCAUUUCUGACCCUGAGACACGAAAGCGUGGGGAGCAAAAAGGAUUAGAUACCCCUGUAGUC
rnacentral:rRNA from 1 species